rnacentral:rRNA from 1 species
CCUACGGGGGGCAGCAGUGAGGAAUAUUGGUCAAUGGACGAGAGUCUGAACCAGCCAAGUAGCGUGAAGGAUGACUGCCCUAUGGGUUGUACACUUCUUUUAUAUGGGAAUAAAACGUUCCACGUGUGGGAUUUUGUAUGUCCAAUCUGAAUAAGGAUAGGCUAAUUCCGUGCCAGCAGCCUCGGUAUUACGGAAGGUCCGGGCGUUUUCCGGAUUUAUUGGGUUUAAAGGGAGCUUAGGCCGGCUUUUAAGUCAGCUUUGAAAGUCCUCGGCUCAAGGGUGGAAUUGCAGUUGAAACUGGAGGCCUUGAGUGCACACAGGGAUGCCGGAAUUCAUGGUGUAGCGGUGAAAUGCAUAGAUAUCAUGAAGAACACCGAUCGCGAAGGCAAGUGUCCGGGGUGCAACUGACGCUGAGGCACGAAAGUGCGGGUAUCAAACAGGAUUAGAUACCCGAGUAGUC